ACACAGCCACGGGGCUACGAUAUGAGCAUCCUCGUGGGCGGAGAACCCGGUGUGAAUCCGGGACUGGCCCGCAACCGUGAUGUUGCCUCGUGCAGGUGUUGACAGUGCAACUGAGUCGGAUCGCCGUCCGCCAGGAGACCAGC
rnacentral:ncRNA from 22 species